rnacentral:RNase_P_RNA from 1 species
GCGAUGAACCAGACCGCCGCGGCGUGAAGGGCGUUGACGCUCAUGUGCGCCGAGGAAAGUCCGGGCUCCAUAGGGCAUGACGCCGGGUAACACCCGGGCGGGGGCGCGACCCUCGACAGCAAGCGCAACAGAAAGUAAACCGCCCGUCUAUUGGUUUCCUUUAGACGGGUAAGGGUGAAAUGGUGCGGUAAGAGCGCACCGCGGGUUUGGCGACAAACCCGGCGAGGUAAGCCUCGUCAGGAGCAAAGUUAAACAGCGGCGUAAGUAUGAACUGCCCGUUCAGCCGCGGGUAAACUGCGAAGACGCGGUCUGCGAAGACCGCGGUUAGAUAGAUGGCGGUCUGGCGUUCUUCGGAGCGUUACAGAACCCGGCUUAUGGUUCAUCGCCUUU